GCGAGCGUAGCUCAGUUGGUAGAGCACGACCUUGCCAAGGUCGAUGUCGUGGGUUCGAACCCCAUCGCUCGCUCCA
rnacentral:tRNA from 1 species